rnacentral:rRNA from 1 species
CCCUUAGAUGUUCUGGGCCGCACGCGCGCUACACUGGUGCAUUCAACGAGUCUAAAACCUGGUCUGAGAGGGCUGGGUAAUCUUUUGAAAGUGCAUCGUGAUUGGGAUAGAUGAUUGCAAUUCUUCAUCUUCAACGAGGAAUGCCUAGUAAACGCAAGUCAUCAGCUUGCAUUGAUUACGUCCCUGCCCUUUGUACACACCGCCCGUCGCUCCUACCGAUUGAACGAUCCGAUGAAAACUGUGGAUUGAGAGUCUGAGUGGGUUCGCCUACCUCAACUUUCGAGAAGCGGUUUAAAUCUUAUCGUUUAGAGGAAGGAGAAGUCGUAACA